AGCAGCCGCGGUAAUUCCAGCUCCAAUAGCGUAUAUUAAAGUUGUUGCAGUUAAAAAGCUCGUAGUUGAAUUUCGGGACUAAUAUGUCGGUCGUACUUUGUACGUACUAGCAUUAUUGGUUUCUCCCUUCUGACGAACCACGAUGUCAUUAAUUUGGUGUCGUGGGAAAUCAGGACUGUUACUUUGAAAAAAUUAGAGUGUUUAAAGCAAGCUCGCGCUUGAAUACAUUAGCAUGGAAUAAUGAAAUAGGACGUUUGAUUCUAUUUUGUUGGUUUCUAGGAUCGACGUAAUGAUUAAUAGGGAUAGUUGGGGGCAUUAGUAUUCAAUUGUCAGAGGUGAAAUUCUUGGAUUUAUUGAAGACUAACUACUGCGAAAGCAUUUGCCAAGGAUGUUUUCAUUAAUCAAGAACGAAAGUUAGGGGAUCGAAGACGAUCAGAUACCGUCGUAGUCUUAACCAUAAACUAUGCCGACUAGGGAUCGGAUGAUGUUAAUUUUUAAUG
rnacentral:rRNA from 1 species